rnacentral:sRNA from 10 species
AGGUUUCAAUCGGCAUUCGGGGUGAAGAAUGUCUGUCGAGGCUUCGCGGCUGUUGUCACGGGCUCGAUGGAAGUUCCGGGUUGUGACAUUAUUGGACUACUAAUGAUGAUGAGUCUUAUAAGAAAAGUCCAACUCAACAUCAAACAACUGCCUGUUCAUAAGUGAGACAUACACAUUCAAAACACAAGUUAAAUGAAAAAAAACAAACAAGCACUCAUCUUUUUCAUUGAUAUCGUUUAUCAGCUUACAUAAAGUACUUAGCUUUUCCAUAUGUUCAAACAACUAUGAGACUUUGAAGGCUGUAUUGUAUGAAGAGUUAACAUUGGACAUACAAGAAGAGGAAUUGCUCUAUUGAAGCACAAAUGCUGUGCUUAUCUUCGCUAGAGUGAUGAUCAAAAGUUACAUGUGAUCACUAUAUGUCCCCUCUUAUUCAGCAACAAGAAUGUGCAUCAACCCUGACAUUCCAAAAGUCAAUGAAGUGAAGGCAAGGUUUUUGUUAGCUACAACAUCUACUUGAGGGGUCCUGUAAAGCACUUUUAAAAUUCAUUUCAUGUUUAUAUAUAUGAACAAUCAUUUGUAACUUUCUAUUCGAAUAUCUUGUGAAUGUUGACUAACAAUAGAUACUUUGACACUUUCCUACUUAUCUUAUUUGUCACGACCCGGAACUCCCAUCGG